rnacentral:rRNA from 1 species
UACGUAGGGGGCAAGCGUUGUCCGGAAUUAUUGGGCGUAAAGAGCGUGUAGGCGGCCAGAUAAGUCCGCUGUGAAAUCUCGAGGCUCAACUUCGAGCUGGCGGUGGAAACUAUCUGGCUAGAGUCCGGAAGAGGAGAAUGGAAUUCCUGGUGUAGCGGUGAAAUGCGCAGAUAUCAGGAAGAACACCCGUGGCGAAGGCGGUUCUCUGGGACGGUACUGACGCUGAGACGCGAAAGCGUGGGGAGCGAACAGG